GCUAUAAUGUGUGCAUAGUUUCCAUCUGUGUCUGGUAGUAGUAUCUGUCUGUGUUUUGCAUUCAGAUUGUGCUAUCCACACAAAUGUCACACAGCCAGAGAGUAACUUGGGAUCAUAGUACUGGUCUAGUGUUGUCCUUUUGGAUACAUCUACCACUGGCCAGCCUCCAAAUUCCCAAACAGAA
ensembl:snoRNA